GACGAACGCUGGCGGCGUGCCUAAUACAUGCAAGUUGAGCGCUGAAGGUUGGUACUUGUACCCACUGGAUGAGCAGCGAACGGGUGAGUAACGCGUGGGGAAUCUGCCUUUGAGCGGGGGACAACAUUUGGAAACGAAUGCUAAUACCGCAUAAAAACUUUAAACACAAGUUUUAAGUUUGAAAGAUGCAAUUGCAUCACUCAAAGAUGAUCCCGCGUUGUAUUAGCUAGUUGGUGAGGUAAAGGCUCACCAAGGCGAUGAUACAUAGCCGACCUGAGAGGGUGAUCGGCCACAUUGGGACUGAGACACGGCCCAAACUCCUACGGGAGGCAGCAGUAGGGAAUCUUCGGCAAUGGACGAAAGUCUGACCGAGCAACGCCGCGUGAGUGAAGAAGGUUUUCGGAUCGUAAAACUCUGUUGGUAGAGAAGAACGUUGGUGAGAGUGGAAAGCUCAUCAAGUGACGGUAACUACCCAGAAAGGGACGGCUAACUACGU
rnacentral:rRNA from 1 species